AAAACUGUGUGCUUUGGGCUCUGGAAAAAAAAAGUGCACGGCGCAAGUGUAGAGACGGUGCGCUGCUGACUGAGAUUACUCUGAGCAGCAUGCAUGGGAGUAAAUUACAAUGUCAUAGAUUUGUGGAUAUUUCUUGCUUUCCCGCUGAUGGUCUGAAUAACUCGCUGCUGCUCUUGCGUGGUGCUGCUCUGUCUUGUCUGUCCGUGCACUGUCCUCUUUUCGAGCCGUUAUCAGUUAGCCUAUAAAUUUGUUUUUCUCUGCGUGAGAAAAUGGACGUGUGGUGUGAGAACGUGUGAAAAGUGUCAAUUGCGUGAAUUGGCAGCUCUGACUAGGAAAAAAGAGAGGCAGAAAGCCCUUCAGCCAGAAAGCCCUGAAGGCAAACUUCUCCCAUGUGCCCAUGCCUCCCUCACUUUGGAUCCCUGCAUUGCCAGAACUCACACAGCCCUCAUUAUCCUCUGUGGAGUUAAGUAGACAUAUGUUAUAUCACAGGUAAAUGCAAAAACCCACUGGCCCCCUGCUUGUCUGAGUGGACCCUGUGGGAAACCACAGAAAGAAAGGUGAAAGAAAAUUGCCUAAUGUCUGCAUUGAGUGGCAGUUUGGCUCUGCAGAGAUCUGUAUGUAGGUGUAUUAAAAGUUUGACUGGCAUACCUCACUCAUCAUAAGGUAAUGAAACCAGAAUCGCAGUGCCUUGAGGUACAGGAAUUUAGUUUGAUUCCCAUGGUCAUUGAAACAGCUUGACUUUUGUGUUUUCCAGGCCUGGGGAUGGAAUGGAAAAAGGCAUACGUAUCCAUAGUGGAUCAAUUCAAAAUAAAAAAUAAAAUCCAUUUGCAAUUGCUGUUUUUCAAACAUACAAAUAUAAAAUGAAUCCCCCUGUUUUGUCAUAGUCAGCCACCACAUCCUCCCCAUCCCUGCGUGCUUUUGUGUGCUCCCUUCUUGUGUUUCUUGUGUGUCCUCGGCUCAUCUCUAGAUGUGAGUCUGUGUGUGUGUGUGUGUUUAUGUCUUCUGGUCUGGCUCCUUGGUUUCCCGCCUGCUGCUGAUCACCGGCUCACCUGACUUCAAUUAUCCAUCAAUCUCCACAGCUCAAAUACCAGGCUCACCUACACCACCAGCGCCAGAUCGUCUCCUUACACUUAAUUAUCCUGUAUUGGUGAUCGCUGCUCCUGUCUCCUUCCGGAUUCCUACCUGCCUGUCUACCUGCCUUGCCAGCCACACACCGCCUUGCCGGCCGACUUCCUGACUCUGUAAGCUACAACCCUGAACCGGACCUCUCGAACCCAGCCACCUCCACGCCAAAGGUCCGCUGUCUGUCCGUAUCUACACAUCACCGCCACCGCCAACGCCACACCACGGAUCCGCUGCCAGUCCAGGUCUAUACGUCAUCACCUGCCCCACGCUUCGGAUCCGCUGUCUGUCCGUGUCUGCACAUCGCCGUCUUCUCCACGCUAUGGGUCCACUUCCUAUCCAGAUCCACACAGCACUCUACCCGAGCUGGGCCAGGAUAUGCUCCUCCAACCUCUGCUCCUGGACUUUCACUGCCUCUCCAGAGCCGCGGCGGAUGGCACCGGAAUACCCUGCAGGAGAGAGACCCAUUCCCAGUGACUCUGUGUUGUUCUAAUAAAGAUUGACUUUGUCAUUUGAUACACCUC